UAGAAAACCACAGGAUUCUGAAGUUCAUUCUGCCAGUGAUAUAAAAGGAAACCCUUAGAGGCAAUGUCAGCAGGCAGGGCUUAUUAAAGUUCACUGAACCUGGAGCUCCUCCCCUGCACAUCUGCCCCUCAUCUCUCUGAUACUCCUCCCUGGCGGUGAGCAACGGUGGUUGAGAUUGGUCUCAGCAACCUCCUGGAGCUUUACCCACGGCAAUGAAGAUUCUUUGGACAUUUUAUUUUGAAGGGAUCUGGCAAUGGAUACCAACAUGACUGAAGACGUGUUCUUCGGAAUAGUAUCCUAUGGAAUCGCUCUGGUGAACACUUUCUUUUCUGGUGCCUCUUGUGGAACGAUUUUUUUUUUUUUUUUUUUUGGCCUCAACAACCCUUGUCUGUGAACUAUAUUUCUGCUGAUACUUUUUAUUGUUUUAUUUCAUGUUGGAUAGAUAAACGUAUCUACAAGUGAGCCUUUUUUAGACAAUGCUACCUCUGCAUCCUGUAAUUUUAUUCCUGGAGAUAUUUUUUCAACAGUGGUAACUGAGAAAUUUUUUCCUUUCUAAUGAUACUUUGGAAUCAAUAUCUUCUGACCAUGAGUCUAAAGGACAGCAGACCUAAGACAUCUAUGAAGUGCCAGCCUGACUUCUGAACACAGCUCCCAAAGUUCUGCUUUCUGGGAACCUUACUGGAACUCUCUUCCCUCUGUGACAUUUGGACUUGCCUUUUGUUGAAAGACACUAAGGUAGUUUCUUCUUGACAACUGAAUCUCAAACAUCAAAGCGGAAAGACCCAGAGAGCCUUCCCUUAGCCAUUGUGACAUGCAGUAUGCCUCAGCAGUAAGCCACCCUGAAAAACUGUCAGCCGAGCAUCCAGCUGUCUUCAUACAAAUUACAAAUUUUCAUCCUUCCAGGAAAAUUCACCAUCAUUUCUCUCCUGACGACAUCUUCUUAUAACCACAUUUUCAGUUGAUUUAAGCUAUUCAUUCUCUCUUAUAUUCUGAAAAUGUCAGUUUGUAAUAUCAUGACUUUUGCAUUUGUUCCCCCCAAAGUUGUUCUUUAUAUUCCUUUUCUUUUCUUUUUUUUGAGACAGAGUCUUGCUCUGUUGCCAGCUGUCAGGCUGGAGUACAGUGGUGCAAUCCGUACAGUGGGAGGCUCACUGCAAUCUCCGCCUCCCAGGUUCAAGCAAUUCUCCUGCCUCAGUCUCCCUAGUAGCUGGGAUUACAGAUGCACGCCACCACGCCCAGCUAAUCUUUGUAUUUUUUAGUCUAGGCGGUGUUUCACCAUGUUGACCAGGAUGGUCUCGAUCUCUUGACCUCGUGAUCCACCCGCCUCGGCCUCCCAAAGUGCUGGGAUUAUAGGCAUGAGCCAUCCCACCCAGCCUCUUUUUAUUCCUUUUCUUAAGGUAGAAAGGGGUAUUUGUUUUUUUCAUAGCAUAUUAUUCAACCAUUUGAAAAUAGAUUUGUAAUCUGCAUAAAAAUAUAACAUGAUAUCAUUCAGUACUAAAUAGUCAAAAGGAUCUUGUCACAGGGAAAUAGUAUUCUAUCACUGGGAAGAACUUUAUAAACUUUAUCACUUAUAUUGUUGUAACAGUGUGUCUAAAGUAUCUAAUACAAAUUUUUGAAGUUUCUUGUUUGGGGCUGUCAAUUCUUAGGGAGUUGGUUAAUUCUGGCUGGUAAUCAAGACAAAUAAAAUAUGCAUGAGAAAGCCUAAA